UAAUAUAAAGCUAUUAAAUACGUAUUUUCAUGUCAUAAACGAUCCAAAGGGGUACCAAUUAUUUGUAAAUAUAAAUAGACCUUUCUACACCUUAUUUUCAACCGUAAAAUCAUUUCACCAGUUUCUCUGCACGAAUACCGAGAGAAACCGAGCGGUGUUCUUCGUGUUCUUCAUAAUCAAACGAAGAUUUGAAGGUGUUAUUGGAGUCAGAAUCAAGCGUGCGAAUAGUCAAAUCGAAGGUAUCGAAGAGUAGAACCCAAAUCAAUCAUCAAAAACAACAUGAGAUUCACAGAAAGGCUUAAAGAUGAGAUGAUUGAUUGAGAUUGUGAGUAAGGCUAAUGCUAGGCGAGGGGACAGAGUUGAGGAUCCAGUGGUCGAGGAGUGUUCAGGAAAGUUGAUGAGGUUGGUGCAAGCUGGAAUAGUUGACAGUGAUUCUUCUUAUCGAAGAUGAUCUGAUUUGGUAAGAGAUGUUGUGUAAUAAUAGUGGUAGAUUCUAAUUUCAAUACUGUAACCUGGAUGCGAUCCUGUUGCUUUUAGGGGGUUUAAAUGUUCUCUUUCGAAUCAUUUAUUAAAGUUUAAAUGUUCACUUUCAAAA